AAUAAACACAAAUGAAACUGUAUAUUAUUAUAUAAAUAAUUACUUUGACAGAUUUGAGUCAUAAAUAAGAUUAUGAUUUGUAGUUCCAAUGUUCAAUAAGAUUGGCCAUCCAUUUAUCUUGGUGAAGUCUUUCUAUCACCAAUAUCAACUAUACUUUGUCAUUAAUUUAUUAUAUCUAAAUUAUCUAGUAAUCUUGCAAUCCAUAUUAACCCAUUCAUCAAAUUUUAUAAUCAGGAAUACAGAAUUGAUUUUUAGUAAAGCCAAUAAUAGUCAUCAUAAUCUCAUUCUUAUAUAUACAAAAUUUUAAAAUAAAGUUGAAAAUGUUGGCUCAACUCUUCUUGAUUCAUGUUGUAUUUAUUCAUGUUCUAAAGUUGAAAAUAUGAAAUAAUUUAAUUUUUAAGCAUUUAAUUAUUUAAUAGUACCAUAUACUAUUGUAUUUUUUAAAAUCUGUCUAUACAUAUUUGUCAUAUUUUCAUAAUACAGAUAUUCCUCAGCUUAUGAUACCAUUGAUUUAAAAUCUUUAUACUCAAAACCAUGAUGCAGUUGAUAAGACCUGUAGUUAGUUGAUGCAGUUCACAUGCAGGCAAGUCCAUGUGCAAUAAUCUAAUAAUAAUAUCCAUUUUAUAAAUUUACUAUGAUUAUAUGUUGCAUUAUGAUGAAUAAUGAUAGUGGGAAAUCAAUAUAUGUGUUAUUUCUGCCACAUUGUAAGCUAUCGUACCACAUAGCUUACAACCUGAUAAUUAAAAUUAGUCCUUAACAUAUUAUAGAAUUCAUCUGUAUUAAAAUUUGCCAAAUUGUUAAAAAAU
rnacentral:lncRNA from 1 species